CUACGGGCCGCUGCAGUGAGGAAUAUUGGACAAUGGGGGAAACCCUGAUCCAGCAAUGCCGCGUGUGUGAAGAAGGCCUGCGGGUUGUAAAGCACUUUCGGUUGGGAGGACUGCUUCUAGCACUAAUAUUGUUGGAAGUUGACGUUACCUUCAGAAGAAGCACCGGCUAACUCCGUGCCAGCAGCCGCGGUAAUACGGAGGGUGCAAGCGUUAAUCGGAAUUACUGGGCGUAAAGCGCGCGUAGGCGGCUAGAUCAGUCGGGUGUGAAAGCCCCGGGCUUAACCUGGGAACUGCAUCCGAUACUGUCUAGCUUGAGUACAGGAGAGGAGAGUGGAAUUCCACAUGUAGCGGUGAAAUGCGUAGAUAUGUGGAGGAACACCAAUGGCGAAGGCAGCUCUCUGGCCUGAUACUGACGCUAAGGUGCGAAAGCGUGGGGAGCAAACAGGAUUAGAUACCCGGGUAGUC
rnacentral:rRNA from 1 species